CAGUGAACACCUCUGGGAAUUACUCCUGCAGGUAUGAAACCAGGGAUGCCAAAGGAUGGGUGAAGCGAUCCCAGCUCAGCCCAGCCCAGCGCCUACACGUCCAGGGGUCCCACGGGAUCGACAGCCCCCCCAGGCCGGUCAUCCCGCUCUGGGUCUGGAUGCUCCGCUCUGCAAUGGUCCUGAUGCUCCUCGUUUCAGCCCCUGUUGCAACUUUCCUACUGAAGAAUGGCACCCAACGGCCACCCCAUCCCACCGUGGAUGGCAAUGUCCCCGGAAAGGCGAACCCUAAACCAUAGCUUCCUGCAGGCAUUGCAGCUGUGCAGGGACAGGGAGACACGGGUACAGUGUUGGUCAGGGCUGGGUGGGGGGUGAAAAUUUCCAUGGCAAGGGCUUGCUGGGCUGUGAAGAGACUCCCUCCGCUCCAGACCCACCUCUGUUCACAUCUUCUUCUACUCUGGAAUGAAGGGAGCCCUGUAGAAAAUUUCAGGGCUCACGGGUUACCUCUCUGUCUCUGUAGGUGGGAUGAUUUAUAACAUGCAGCUCAGCAAGGGUUAGCAGCAGUGCUCAUGUGACAAAAGUGACCCUGACCCAUCUACAGCCCUGAAGACCCAUGGAAACCUGAAACAGUGUGGGGUGUGAAGGGAAGAGGGAUGAGAGAGAUACAUCUGCUGAGGGCAUUCUCUGGCGCAACCAAAGGACAGCAGAGGGUCUUUGGGGAAGGAGAGUUCGGGGCAGUGGAAAGCAACCCCCCGGGGAUUUCUCCACAUCACCCUGGGUGCAAGCCAGGGAAGAUGGGCUAUCCAAGGCACUCCCUGGGCCCUUUGUGUUGGAUGCAUCAGGCAGCAAUUGCAGCCUAGGUGCAAAUUUCACUUGCGGGUCACUGCUUCUGGGCAGGAUGGUCGCUCUACUUUCAGAGGAGAGCCCUGGGCAGUGGCUCCAGGAUGUUCAAAGCACCAGCUGUGUGCCAUGGAAACAGCUCUUGCUCUGUGCAAAACCCCUGGAAAGGGCACGGGAAAGAUAGAUGUUUCUGGGACACCCAGCAGGGACUGUGCAGUUUUCUGCAAGAAGCCACUACAGGCCACUGGAGUGAAAGAAAUAAAACUGUCUGCCUGGCCA
rnacentral:lncRNA from 1 species